rnacentral:rRNA from 1 species
CACGUAGGGACCAAGCGUUGUCCGGAUUUAUUGGGCGUAAAGAGCUCGUAGGUGGUUCGGUAAGUCGGGUGUGAAAACUCUGGGCUCAACUCAGAGAUGCCACCCGAUACUGCCGUGACUUGAGUCCGGUAGGGGAGCACGGAAUUCCUGGUGUAGCGGUGAAAUGCGCAGAUAUCAGGAGGAACACCGGUGGCGAAGGCGGUGCUCUGGGCCGGUACUGACGCUGAGGAGCGAAAGCGUGGGUAGCAAACAGG